AGGCAGGGCUUGGUCGCGCUGUGGCUGCGUUGACUUCGAAGGCGCCACACCUACGGCGGAAGAAGGCGCCCGUUUCCUCUCAGAGAUCACUUGAGGGAGAGAGAAAAGAAGUGGCGGGCAGGCGAGCUCGUCCCUUCUCGUCGCGGACAUGGAGGAGAAGAAGGCGAGCCCUCCCCGGGCAGAUGCGCCUGCUCCCUCGUCCCGCUGGUGGAUGCUCCCCGGCGAGACCGGCCCCAGGGGCCGCGCCCAGAGCGACGUCUCCUCUUUCUGCACGCUGCGAAAGAGCCACCUGCAGCGGGGCGCGCUCUCCGGCUCAGGUAAGGGAGCGGGGCCGCCAAGAGCUGCCACCUUCAUCCCACCUACCUACCCACCCCACCCUCUUUCUCGGCAGCCGGGGGGCUUGCGCCUUUAACAGGCAGGGAUUCUGCAGGAGACGCUCCCCCAGCCCACUGCAGCUGCUUUGCGAAGUGGCUUGCUGGGAAAGCUUCACCUGCUGAAUGCAAGUCGGUCACCAAGCCUAGAUCCAGGAUCCAGGAUCAGGUUGCAUUGGAUCCAAGCAACUUUUUUUGCCUGUGUGAGUAAGAUAAGCAUAUAUGUGAGAAUUUAAAAUGUUCUGCUGGAUAUGUGCAGUAUCGUAUAAGGUUAUGGAGGGAUUUUCUGUUGCUUUUUUUUUCCAAGUAGGGCGUCAUAUACGAGUCCCACUUCAUACCUCCCUUUCCUGUAGGAAAGCUUAGCCUUUGAUAGUUGCAUGGCAGGCAGGAAUUCAAGAAGCACCAUGUCACUGUGGUUGAGAGGUAGUUAUGGGAAAGAGAUUCUCCCAUUGAACUUCUGCCUGUCACAAGGCAGCUGCCAGCAUGAUGUUAGGUCUAGAGAGGUAAUCCUCAUGGGAUCUAGAGAGGUAAGCCUCAUGGGAUCUACAGUGUUACCCUUCUGGUAGGAUGUCAAGAUUCCUUAACUCAAACUUGGCCUUGAGCCUACUGACCUCCCUGUUAAUUUAAAACUAGAUUAGUUCCAGCAUGCUUUUGUAGAUGAACUGAUAUUUGGCUGGUGAUAAUGAGCAUGAAGAAUCACAGUAGUGGUUGUUCCAGACUAGCACUGAGAGUGAUGUUGUCAUCGUCUCUGGCUUGGCUUGGUUUACAUCUCAGUCCUUUGGCAAGUGAUGGGUUCUCUCUGGUAUUUAGUAUGCCACAUUCUUUGACCAUUAAAGAAACUGACAUGACAAACACUUAUUUUCUUCUUAGUAAAAUGGUCAUAAUAGCAGUCUACUUCAAAAGACUUUCUAGAUCAGAGCUGUGGCCUUCCAUCCAUUGCUGGACUCCCAACUCUCAUCACGUGAUACCAUUUGCCAUGCUGAGCUGGGGCUGAUGUGAGCUGAAGUCCAACAAUAUCUAAAGAUCUACAGAUUUCCCAGCCCUGCUUCGUACUAAGGUUGUACAGCACUUUGUUACAUUAGGAGAACUAAAUAUUAUUAUGUUAUAUAGUACUUUUAAUGUACAGAGAAAGCACUGGAACUUGAGGCUUUGGUAGGGAUAGCCAGCUCAUGAGGCAAGGUGAGGUAACUGCCUUAGGUGGUAGGGUCUACAGGUGUAGUGCAUGGUAGUCUUCUCACACACAAAAAAAAUUCUAUAUGUUGUAAGUCAGUUUGUCAAGCAAAGGGUUGUUUUCAGUAAUUUUUGGAUCUAGCAUGUGGUCACCGUGAGGGACUUAGGCCAUCGUGUGGGGCCUAGCAGGUGCUCAACCAUUCCAACAGCCGACACUUGAUUUGAUCAUGGGUUUGCCAUGGAUUAUCCAUGAAUACUGCUGCUUGACCUUUCGAGAAAAUACCUGUUUCAAAUCUGCUGCAUGCCUAUUCCAUUUGGCACAACAAAUGAGUUCUGUGUCAACAUUUCUCAAAGUUUGAACUUCAACCCUCUGUUCAACCAGAGCUUUUUUCAGGGGGAACUCACAGAAACACAGUUUUGGCACCUCUCAGGUGGGUGCCAUUGCCAUUCUAAGAGAAUGAGGGAAGUGUUCAUGGUGAGUUCUGGCAACUCUUUUUCUAGAAAAAAAUAGCACUGUGUUCAACCAUUUUAUGAUUUUCAACCCUAUCUUCAGUUGUAAGGCUUGAAAACUUCCAACAUGGCCUGGGGUUUGGGCUGUUAGUCAUAAGAACAAGCAUCUCUCAUGUAGCAAGCAUUUGGGUAAAAGGCUAGGAAGUAUAGGCCAUACUCGCAAUUUUAAAAAAUGGUUAAUAGCAGUCUUAGGGCCAUACCCAUAUCAGUGCUGGGAGAAGUUAAUCCUUCUCUCUUGUGCCAUUUUCCCAUGUCUUUGCAUCUGCUAUUUUUCAUGCAAGUGCAAGCAUAUGGGUGCAAUAGGGAGUUAAGCAAACUGCUUUAUCCACUACUACAGCCUCAGUCUGAUUCCCCUGCCCCGUAGUCUGAUUCCCACACCCCUCUUUUUUUUAAAAGGAGAUAGUGUCUGUAGUUCUCUCACAUAACAUAAAAUUUUGCCCUCAGCGUAAGCUUUUGAAAGGACUGGUUUUCAUACCUGGAUUCUCAGAGCAUGGGCAUCAGCUUGAGAAAUAACAGACUGUAUUUGGUUACUGCAUCGGUUUAAAAGCUUUUUGAAUAGUAAGGAGGUGCAGUAUGUUGUUGUUUCCAGGUUUGUCGAUUUACAUCAAGACUUGACUGAAGAGCAUUGCUUGGAGGACUUGCAUUGUUCAAGGCUCAGACAAUCUCUAUAUAGGGAAUACACUUUGCACUUUACAUAUUUCAGGACCUGAAUGAAUCUGCAUAUUGUUUAUAUAACAUCUAUAGUCUGUUCCAGGAGCACGGGUUUAAUUCAGAAUUAUAGGGGACCUUCAUUUUCUCACAGACUUUGAGGGUCUUUAAGUUCACCCAAAUAUUGAUGAAUUUGAAGUAUGCCCUUUCUUCUACAGACCCCAGGGUGGCUAACAGCAUCUUAACAAACAACAGAAUUAAAAACAUAAACUAAAACCUACUGUAGCAGCAGCAGCAGCAAGAACAGAACAAUCAAAGAUACAAUUCAGUAAUAUAGUUUCCAAUUGUCACUCUUAAUAUGCCCCAGGCUUGCAAAAAUAAACAGGGUUUAAGUUGACACCUGAACAAAAGAAGCUGAGGGACAGCUGGAUCAGCAGAGAAAGAGAGUUCAGUAGGCAGGGGACUAUCAGAGCAAAAUAUGGCAGAUCUCCAGGCUAUGUUCUCUGGGCUUCUGCUGCAGAACUCAAAACUUGUGUUCCUGGUACUGUUGAAAGGUGAUCCUUCAAUUUAUGCAGAGAUUAAUGGUGUUGAUAUUUACUGAGGCUGGAACCAGAUAUUCUAGGCUAUCUGUUACUUUUUUCCUGUGCUAGUCUUUAAUGAAGUAUUGAAGUUCCCAUAAACUAAUUCUAUGAAGGGCUAUUAUGGAUAAUAGCUCUGCAACACGGAGACUUAUUCUGGACUGGAAUUGGGGAACUGAAUACUUGAGGGCCAAGGGCCUGUAGUUUCAAACAGAAUGUUCGGUUCAAAAGCACAGGAAUGAGAGGGCGGUCCUUGCUGUUCUAAUUAUUAGACAGCAUUUUAUGGACCUCUUUGAACUACUUUGUGAGAGAAAUGUGAUCUGCUUUGCAACUUGACAUUAAAGUGUUGGGGAAAUUUAUGUGAAUGUACCCAUACAUUAUCUGUAUUGGUAUACAUUGCAAAAGUGGAGAACCUGUGGCACACCAGAUGUUUUUGGACUGUAAGUCCCAUUGGCCCCAGCCAGCAUGGCCAGUGGUCAUGGAUGAUAAAAGUUAUAGCACAGUGGCAGCCGGAGAGGCAGAAAUUCCCCAUCGCUGAUACUGAAAACAUCAAUUGCUACAGGAAGAAGUUAAUGAGAAUAUUCUAGUUAGAGACACUGUCCUUUCUAAAAAGCAGUUUUGGCAAUGGUCCACAAAGUCCAUCUAUCUGUUAUUCCAUACAAUCCACCUAUCUCUAAACAGAUUAUUGUUUAAUAUGCUGAUAGUUACAAUUUCCUGCCAUCUCUUUUGUUCAGUUCUUUUAAGCUAUAGACCUUAUGAAGCAAGCUAGUCUGCUUUGUGGUUUGCUUUAUAUUGAUGUUGUCUGUAUUGUCUCCGGUGCAAAAAGGUAAAGGAAGACAGAAAUAUUAUGCAUACAUUCAUUAGAACAAGUUCCAGACUGAAAGCAAUGGGACUUCCCUGCAAAAACAGGGCUAAAGCUGGCUGGGGCUGAGAGGAGUCAUAGUCCAGCAACAUCUAGAGGGGAAAUAAAUAAAUUAGCUGUGGCUUAUUCACUGACUUUCAACCUUGGGAUGCCUAUUUAAGGACUGGUGCCACAGUCCCUUCUCCCAAGGCCCUGCGGCACCCUGAAUACUGUCUAAACAAAGAGAAGAGAGAUGGGGGAGGCCAGCAAAUUCAUCAGCAUGUCUCUACCUGGGAACCCUGUUGACCUUGAGCUCUGUGACUUUUCUUCAGGGCCGCGAAGCUGUAGCUUAUUGCCACUCCCUCUUUCUUUUGAGUUUGUUUGUUUUUUGCUAAGUUGCUACUGUGGGCAUAGAAGCCAACUCCUAGGGGCCAAGGUCUCUUCCGCUCCCCCAAUAAAAUAUUUGAGGAGGCCAGGCCCCCCAAAGUUGAUGGGAAUUGCCAUUCAAAUGGUGUUUGUGUGUCGGGGGUCAUGAUACCCAAGGUUUGCUGUAGCUUACUCCAAUUUAUUCUUGUAACACUGCACCAUGGUUUAGUGAUAUGUUUGUCCUGGGCCUUAUUCAAAUGCCCCACCUUCAUAAGUUUAUAAUAAUCAGGGUGCCUUGAACUAUGUAUGCACCAAAUUUCAGCUUUCUAGGUUAUGAUAACCCUGAUAAUUUUCAUACUCCUAUGAGAUCCAUCAACACCAAGAAGCUUCAUCUACAUGAUUUCUAUAAAUGCAUGCAUCUUUGUGUGUUAAACAAUAUUCUAUGCAAACUGAAGAGAAGGAAAAUCUGUCAUUGAACCUUUCCCUGUCUCUUGAUAGAUGCAAUUUUCUAAUAGAUACCCAGAUUGUGUUUGUAAUUUCCUGUUUCUGACAGAAAUAGAGAAAUGCAGGAAGCAUUGCUUUCAAAACAUAUGCUAAUAUUCUCUCUUGGGUUUUAAUCUCCACUAUCUUGGGGAUUUUAUUUAUUUGUCAGGGCUGUAAUUCACAGUCAUAUGCCAAGGUGGUGUUAAUAUUUCACUUUAACAUCUAACUUAGAUUCCAGAGCAGCUAACAAGGAAACAGAGUGAGAUAAUGAAAAGUUUACAACUGAGAAUUAUUUAUUGUCUCCAUGGCAGCAAUAAGGUUGUCUAAAUGCCCACCUGCCCAAAACAAUAAGCAGUGAUACAGUGCAUCUUAUUGUCAUGGUUGGACCACCAGCUGGUGAAGUUUGGAUUGAUGGUAGCAAUACCUCCCCACAAGGGUUGUGGACCCAUUUGGAUGGUCCACCCUCAGUGCCUGAUGGAUUCCAGAAUGCAGAGAUGAAUGACAAUCCUGUUGAAGCUCUGGUCAUGUCCAAGUCCUGAUCAGGGGUGGAAUUCAAUGUUAAGCACUUACAAACAUUCCAUCUGCGUGAGCAUAUCAGCUUGCCAGACAGAAUGACACCCACCCACCCCGGUCCUCUUCACCCACACACUGUGCUUGUUGUGCUCCCAACACCCCCACUCCCCACAGCCUUUUUUUAUUCUGCAAAAUGUUUCAUAUUUUUCAGUUAUAAUAAAUCUAGUUUUGGUCACAAGCUUAUAUUUCAAUAUAAGACUGUAAAAGCUGUCACGUAUUUCCAGCCAUGAGAUAAAUAGUGGUUUUAUGAAUCUAAUGCUGACCUUGCUUGUUAUGUUGAAUGUUUCUGUACAGCUACAUAGGAAAGCUGCUAUGCAGAGUUGACUCACUAGAUGGGGUGAUUGUCAUACUGAUAAGCAAAUGUUAUUCUCCAUAAUAUCAAAUGCCUGUUUAAAAGUCUUUAAUUUCUCUGGAAGAGAAGUGCUUUCUAACCAAAGUGUAUAUUUCUAAAAUAGGUGAUACAACACCAAUUUUAAGUGCAUCCAAAUGUAGGCUACAAAAUGACUUGCAGCUUGUAAUAUUUAGGCCGCACUUUUGUGUGUUCUUGACAGUAAGUCCCAUUGAACUUAAUGGUGGUAUUACUUCUUAGGAUC
rnacentral:lncRNA from 1 species